UGUUUGGGGGGAGCACUUAACUUCUCAGUGUGUUGCCAUCCUGACCUGGGGGCUGACAUAGCUAACCUGUGGAAAGCAUGCCUCCUGAUCAGUAUUGGACUUCAUGUGAGUGGAAGAGAAACCUUCACUUUAAACCCCAGGAAUUUCAGAGGUUUGUCAGCUGGAGAAGCUAGUGGGAGUUAUCCUGAAACACACUCCAAUAAGGAUGCUGUUUUCCAAAAAGCAUGCUGAUUGUCAGUCUAAACUUCACUGCGGAUGGCUUUAUAAUAAGGAGCUAGACAGUCAAGGGGCAGGGAACAGGAUGGAUGGAGGUGAGAUGGGUGUGCAAUUGAGUCAGUUGCUGGGAGUGAGGCCUGAUUUGCUUUCCCAUGGUGUCCUCUGCACAGUGGUCCCAGAAACUUAAUUAACUUUAAAGAAGCACCCCAAAAUGAUACAUCUUUAGUGAGCACUUAGACAUAAUUAUCAUAAAACUCUUUGAAGACAGAGGUCCUGCAUGGAAAGUAAGUACACAGUGACUUUUGUUGUUAAUUUAACAAUUAACACUCUUAUGUAUAAUAUCAGUGAUCACCCGAGGCUCUUGACAUGAGCUUCCUAGGCUAUGGAAGUCUUUUGAAUCCAUGGACUCUGUCAGUAUUUAGACAAAGCAGUAAGCAGAGUGGAAGUUCUCUCUUCCCUUCAAAGAAAAGUACCUCCUUCUUUGAU
rnacentral:lncRNA from 1 species